UGAGGAAUAUUGGUCAAUGGGCGGGAGCCUGAACCAGCCAAGCCGCGUGAGGGAAUAAGGCCCUACGGGUCGUAAAACCUCUUUUGUCGGGGGAACAAAAAGCGGGGACGUGUCCCGUCCUGCGNGUACCCGAACGAAAAAGACAUCGGCUAACUCCGUGCC
rnacentral:rRNA from 1 species